AGUGAACGCUGGCGGUAGGCCUAACACAUGCAAGUCGAACGGCAGCACAGUAAGAGCUUGCUCUUACGGGUGGCGAGUGGCGGACGGGUGAGGAAUACAUCGGAAUCUACUUUUUCGUGGGGGAUAACGUAGGGAAACUUACGCUAAUACCGCAUACGACCUACGGGUGAAAGCAGGGGAUCUUCGGACCUUGCGCGAUUGAAUGAGCCGAUGUCGGAUUAGCUAGUUGGCGGGGUAAAGGCCCACCAAGGCGACGAUCCGUAGCUGGUCUGAGAGGAUGAUCGGCCACACUGGAACUGAGACGCGGUCCAGACUCCUACGGGAGGCAGCAGUGGGGAAUAUUGGACAAUGGGCGAAAGCCUGAUCCAGCCAUACCGCGUGGGUGAAGAAGGCCUUCGGGUUGUAAAGACCUUUUGUUGGGAAAGAAAAGCAGCAGGUUAAUACCGCGCUGUUCUGACGGUACCCAAAGAAUAAGCACCGGCUAACUUCGCG
rnacentral:rRNA from 1 species